rnacentral:sRNA from 1 species
CGCGGACCCUGAGCGCCAGAGCCCAGCCGCCACCGCCGCGAUGUGGGCCGCGCUGCCGCUGCUCUGCGCCGGGGCCUGCCUCCUGGGAUCCCCCGUCUGCGGCGCCGCCGAACUGUCCGUGAACUCUUUAGGUACGCAGAGGGGGCGCCGCCCGAGAGGGGGCUAGCAGGCCCUAGAGUGGACGCUGGGAGAACUUGGCCAGGGGCGCACUGGGCUCCGGAGGAACGGGGCAGAGCUUUCCCCGGUAAGAGGCCAGGAACUCUGCGUGCUGGCACGGGGAGGGGUAAACUGCAUUAUAGGCGGGGGGUCUCAGAGGGUGGGCGGCUUGUAGGACCAGAGGAGCAGAUGGGCUGAGUGUCCAGGGUCCCACUUAGCCAGGUGGCUCUCCAGCCUAGAAUACCAAAGGAGCCCGCAGCUCCUUCCGCCUUCCCCAACUGGGGACACAGAGUGUCACACAGAGGACUCUGAUCUGUCCCUGCCAGAGAAAAGUUUCACUUCAAGUCAUGGAUGUCUAAGCACCGUAAGACCUACAGCACGGACGAGUACCACCACAGGCUGCAGACGUUUGCCAGCAACUGGAGGAAGAUAAAUGCCCACAACAAUGGGAACCACACAUUUAAAA